rnacentral:misc_RNA from 1 species
GAUGAAGAACGUAGCGAAAUGCGAUAAGUAAUGUGAAUUGCAGAAUUCCGUGAAUCAUCGAAUCUUUGAACGCACAUUGCGCCCCCUGGCAUUCCGGGGGGCAUGCCUGUCCGAGCGUCAUUACAACCCUCAAGCUCAGCUUGGUGUUGGGCCCCGCCGCCCCGGCGGGCCCUAAAGUCAGUGGCGGUGCCGUCCGGCUCCGAGCGUAGUAAUUCUUCUCGCUCUGGAGGUCCGGUCGUGUGCUCGCCAGCAACCCCCAAUUUUUUUCAGGUUGACCUCGGAUCAGGUAGGGAUACCCGCUGAACUUAAGCAUAUCAAUAAGCGGAGGA